rnacentral:rRNA from 1 species
GACGAGCGCUGGCGGCGUGCUUAACACAUGCAAGUCGAACGCUGAAGCUCAGCUUUUGUUGGGUGGAUGAGUGGCGAACGGGUGAGUAACACGUGAGUAACCUGCCCCCUUCUUUGGGAUAACGCCCGGAAACGGGUGCUAAUACUGGAUAUUCACUGGUCUUCGCAUGGGGGUUGGUGGAAAGGGUUUUUCUGGUGGGGGAUGGGCUCGCGGCCUAUCAGCUUGUUGGUGGGGUGAUGGCCUACCAAGGCUUUGACGGGUAGCCGGCCUGAGAGGGUGACCGGUCACAUUGGGACUGAGAUACGGCCCAGACUCCUACGGGAGGCAGCAGUGGGGAAUAUUGCACAAUGGGCGCAAGCCUGAUGCAGCGAUGCCGCGUGAGGGAUGGAGGCCUUCGGGUUGUGAACCUCUUUCGCUCAUGGUCAAGCCGCAACAAUGGUUGUGGUGAGGGUAGUGGGUAAAGAAGCGCCGGCUAACUACGUG